rnacentral:rRNA from 1 species
AACGGCCAUACCAUGCUGAAUAUACCGGUUCUCGUUAGAUCCCCGAAGUCAAUCAUCAUUGGGCGCGGUCAGUAAUUGUGUGGGUGACCAUCUGGGAACACCGGGUGCUGUU